GGCCGGUUAGCUCAGUUGGUUAGAGCGUCGUGCUAAUAACGCGAAUGUCGCGGGUUCGUUCCCCGUACUGGCCA
rfam:Ciona savignyi cont_22528, whole genome shotgun sequence.